rnacentral:rRNA from 1 species
AUACGAAGGUCCCAAGCGUUAUUCGGAAUCACUGGGCGUAAAGAGUACGUAGGCGGUUUGGUAAGUCAGGUGUGAAAUCCCGGAGCUCAACUCCGGAACUGCAUCCGAUACUGCCAGACUUGAGUAAUGGAGAGGCAGGUGGAAUUCUCGGUGUAGCAGUGAAAAGCGUGGAUAUCGAGAGGAAGACCAAUGGCGAAGGCAGCCUGCUGGACAUUUACUGACGCUGAGGUACGAAGGCUAGGGGAGCGAAAGGGAUUAGAAACCCGUGUAGUCC